UACGGGGGGGGCAAGCGUUGUUCGGAAUUACUGGGCGUAAAGGGCUCGUAGGCGGCCAACUAAGUCAGACGUGAAAUCCCUCGGCUUAACCGGGGAACUGCAUCUGAUACUGGAUGGCUUGAGUUCGGGAGAGGGAUGCGGAAUUCCAGGUGUAGCGGUGAAAUGCGUAGAUAUCUGGAGGAACACCGGUGGCGAAGGCGGCAUCCUGGACCGACAUUGACGCUGAGGAGCGAAAGCAUGGGUAGCGAACAGG
rnacentral:rRNA from 1 species